UUACAUUGCACUAAAUACACAAUACCAAAGACAACUUCUGCAUCCCAAUUCGCUUACUAUCCAUACAACAUAGCAUCUGAGAUUAGAAUUAGUGUGUCCCAAAUCCUAGUAUGUUGAAAUGAGGAUCCCAAAGGGACCCGGAUUGGACUAUUUCCGGUAGAUUUUUCGAAGUGUGUAUCUAUGGACACUUUUUCAGUUAAUAUUGCCCACAACUCCUUGUGUGAGGGAGGAAGAGUUUUGAGAUGAUUUGCUUUUUGACGUAUUUAAGAGAGGAGUAAAUGAAAUCCAUCCGUCCGUCCAUCCAUUUUCCACAGGGCCGUGGGGGAGCCUGGAGCCCAGGGCGGGGGACACCCGGUGCAGAGUGGCAGGGCACGAUUGCACACACAUCCACGGCCAAUUUGGAAAUGCCAAAUGAGCGUACAAUGUAUGUCUUUGGACUAGGGGAGGAAAACGGAGUACACGGAGGUAACCCCCGAGACACGGGCAGAACAUGCAAACUCUGCGCACACAGGGCGGAGGCAGGAUUCCAACCCCCAACCCCAGAGUACGCACGUUAUCCUGGUCAGGGUUGUGGAGGAUCCGGAGCCUAUCCUGGGAGCACCGGGUGCAAGGCAGGAGAACGCCAUACUCCAGGUGGGACGCCAGUGCGUAAGAGGGCACCAUGCACUCAUACACUCACAAUGACUUUUUUGGGACAGUGGAAGGAAAAGCAGAGAACCUGGGGGAAACCCACAUGAACACAGGGAGAACAUACAAAGCACGGACAGAGACGCAAGCUCGGGAUCGAACCUAGGACCCUGGAGACAUGAGGAGGCGACGCUACCUCAUUAACAAUGCUAAUAACAACACUGUCCAUGUACUUUGAGAUCGGUUACGGAUGUUUUGGAAUGGUUUACUCCGACUGUAGCGGAAACCGAGUGUGAACUGGACUGGGCUGCAGGACAGGCGUUCACGCCCGGAGUGAGUGCGUCUCCCUCCACCAGCACGUGACAGGACUUCCUUAGGACUUUCGCUUUUUCCCUGUAAAGUGCGACACUCUCUUUCACACACACCGCUCCCAGUCCUUCUUAAAGCAUGGCACACAACACACCACUCCCAGGCUGUAAUCUUUAUGAUAUCGCCUGCACUGAGUGAACAUUAAACCCUAAUAAAAAGCUUCACGUACUAGUUCAAAACCAUCAAAGCACAACGCCAGUCCAAACACACGUCUUCUGUAUGAUGUUACACUCCUA